rnacentral:rRNA from 1 species
UACGAAGGGGGCUAGCGUUGUUCGGAAUUACUGGGCGUAAAGGGCGCGUAGGCGGCUCUGCACGUUCGUUGUGAAAUCGCCCGGCUCAACUGGGCGGGGUCAGCGGAUACGGCAGAGCUUGAGCAAGCUAGGGGGCAAUGGAAUUCCCGGUGUAGUGGUGGAAUGCGUAGAUAUCGGGAGGAACACCAGUGGCGAAGGCGGUUGCCUGGGGCUUUGCUGACGCUGAUGCGCGAAAGCGUGGGGAGCGAUCCGG